UCCCCGCUUUUCCUCCCUGAGCGGGUGCCUUUGUGUGUGACAGCAAAAGGCUUGCAACCCCGGCCCUUUAGGUCGGGGUUCUUUUU
rnacentral:ncRNA from 1 species